CAGUCAUAUGCUUGUUUCAAUGAUUAAGCCAUGCAUGCGGUGUGUGAUAUUCAAUACUGAACAGCGUUCGGCUCAUGAAGGCGGGGGCAAUUUCGUUGGCGGUCAUAUUACUCGGAUAAUCAUGACAACUUCAAGGCUAAUACGCGGAGCAAAAGCAAUUCAUUUGCUUGCACUUCUUGCAAUACUACCACACGCACUAGAAAAACAGUUUGCAUGGAUUAGAAGACAGACAAAUGCAUUAACUGCAUUGCGCCAACCAAACCCCUGACCCAUCAGCUUCGACGGUAUGAUCGGGGCAUACCGCGGCUUCGACGGGUGACGGAGAAUUAAGGUUUGAUUCCGGAGAGGGAGCUUUCGACACGGCUACCACAUCCAAGGAAGGCAGCAGGCGCGCGAAUUACCCAUUCCUGCGAAAGGGAGGUAGAGACAAGACGUCACAUCGCUGGGCUCUUGAGUCUAGCUGCUGGGUUGGGUUGGAUAUAUAUCUUCCUUCGAGCAUCAUCAGGGGGGCAAGUCUGG
rnacentral:rRNA from 1 species